UACGUAGGGUGCAAGCGUUAAUCGGAAUUACUGGGCGUAAAGCGUGCGCAGGCGGUUUUGUAAGUCUGUCGUGAAAUCCCCGGGCUCAACCUGGGAAUUGCGAUGGAGACUGCAAGGCUAGAAUCUGGCAGAGGGGGGUAGAAUUCCACGUGUAGCAGUGAAAUGCGUAGAGAUGUGGAGGAACACCGAUGGCGAAGGCAGCCCCCUGGGUCAAGAUUGACGCUCAUGCACGAAAGCGUGGGGAGCA
rnacentral:rRNA from 1 species